rnacentral:rRNA from 1 species
GGUUAAGCGACUAAGCGUACACGGUGGAUGCCCUGGCAGUCAGAGGCGAUGAAGGGCGUGCUAAUCUGCGAUAAGCGCCGGUAAGGUGAUAUGAACCGUUAUAACCGGCGAUACCCGAAUGGGGAAACCCAGUGUGAUUCGUCACACUAUCAUUAACUGAAUCCAUAGGUUAAUGAGGCGAACCGGGGGAACUGAAACAUCUAAGUACCCCGAGGAAAAGAAAUCAACCGAGAUUCCCCCAGUAGCGGCGAGCGAACGGGGAGGAGCCCAGAGCCUGAAUCAGCAUGUGUGUUAGUGGAAGCGUCUGGAAAGGCGCGCGAUACAGGGUGACAGCCCCGUACACAAAAGCGCAUGUGCUGUGAGCUCGAUGAGUAGGGCGGGACACGUGGUAUCCUGUCUGAAUAUGGGGGGACCAUCCUCCAAGGCUAAAUACUCCUGACUGACCGAUAGUGAACCAGUACCGUGAGGGAAAGGCGAAAAGAACCCCGGCGAGGGGAGUGAAAAAGAACCUGAAACCGUGUACGUACAAGCAGUGGGAGCACAGGUUUACCUGUGUGACUGCGUACCUUUUGUAUAAUGGGUCAGCGACUUAUAUUCUGUAGCAAGGUUAACCGUAUAGGGGAGCCGUAGGGAAACCGAGUCUUAACCGGGCGUUAAGUUGCAGGGUAUAGACCCGAAACCCGGUGAUCUAGCCAUGGGCAGGUUGAAGGUUGGGUAACACUAACUGGAGGACCGAACCGACUAAUGUUGAAAAAUUAGCGGAUGACCUGUGGCUGGGGGUGAAAGGCCAAUCAAACCGGGAGAUAGCUGGUUCUCCCCGAAAGCUAUUUAGGUAGCGCCUCGUGAAUUCAUCUCCGGGGGUAGAGCACUGUUUCGGCUAGGGGGCCAUCCCGGCUUACCAACCCGAUGCAAACUGCGAAUACCGGAGAAUGUUAUCACGGGAGACACACGGCGGGUGCUAACGUCCGUCGUGAAGAGGGAAACAACCCAGACCGCCAGCUAAGGUCCCAAAGUCAUGGUUAAGUGGGAAACGAUGUGGGAAGGCCCAGACAGCCAGGAUGUUGGCUUAGAAGCAGCCAUCAUUUAAAGAAAGCGUAAUAGCUCACUGGUCGAGUCGGCCUGCGCGGAAGAUGUAACGGGGCUAAACCAUGCACCGAAGCUGCGGCAGCGAACGUAUCACUUAAAGCGAUUCAGCGGGUUACGAUUGACGGAGCGAAGCGACGUCAAAGCGUAUACAAAGUCGAGUCGGUUUAAGGAUACGUUCGUUGGGUAGGGGAGCGUUCUGUAAGCCUGUGAAGGUGUGUCGUGAGGCAUGCUGGAGGUAUCAGAAGUGCGAAUGCUGACAUAAGUAACGAUAAAGCGGGUGAAAAGCCCGCUCGCCGGAAGACCAAGGGUUCCUGUCCAACGUUAAUCGGGGCAGGGUGAGUCGACCCCUAAGGCGAGGCCGAAAGGCGUAGUCGAUGGGAAACGGGUUAAUAUUCCCGUACUUGGUGUUACUGCGAAGGGGGGACGGAGAAGGCUAUGUUGGCCGGGCGACGGUUGUCCCGGUUUAAGCGUGUAGGUGUGUGUUCCAGGUAAAUCCGGUUCACUUUAACACUGAGGCGUGACGACGAGGCACUACGGUGCUGAAGCAACAAAUGCCCUGCUUCCAGGAAAAGCCUCUAAGCAUCAGGUAACAUCAAAUCGUACCCCAAACCGACACAGGUGGUCAGGUAGAGAAUACCAAGGCGCUUGAGAGAACUCGGGUGAAGGAACUAGGCAAAAUGGUGCCGUAACUUCGGGAGAAGGCACGCUGACACGUAGGUGAAGUGAUUUACUCAUGGAGCUGAAGUCAGUCGAAGAUACCAGCUGGCUGCAACUGUUUAUUAAAAACACAGCACUGUGCAAACACGAAAGUGGACGUAUACGGUGUGACGCCUGCCCGGUGCCGGAAGGUUAAUUGAUGGGGUCAGCGCAAGCGAAGCUCCUGAUCGAAGCCCCGGUAAACGGCGGCCGUAACUAUAACGGUCCUAAGGUAGCGAAAUUCCUUGUCGGGUAAGUUCCGACCUGCACGAAUGGCGUAAUGAUGGCCAGGCUGUCUCCACCCGAGACUCAGUGAAAUUGAACUCGCUGUGAAGAUGCAGUGUACCCGCGGCAAGACGGAAAGACCCCGUGAACCUUUACUAUAGCUUGACACUGAACAUUGAGCCUUGAUGUGUAGGAUAGGUGGGAGGCUUUGAAGCGUGGACGCCAGUCUGCGUGGAGCCGACCUUGAAAUACCACCCUUUAAUGUUUGAUGUUCUAACGUGGACCCGUGAUCCGGGUUGCGGACAGUGUCUGGUGGGUAGUUUGACUGGGGCGGUCUCCUCCUAAAGAGUAACGGAGGAGCACGAAGGUUGGCUAAUCCUGGUCGGACAUCAGGAGGUUAGUGCAAUGGCAUAAGCCAGCUUGACUGCGAGCGUGACGGCGCGAGCAGGUGCGAAAGCAGGUCAUAGUGAUCCGGUGGUUCUGAAUGGAAGGGCCAUCGCUCAACGGAUAAAAGGUACUCCGGGGAUAACAGGCUGAUACCGCCCAAGAGUUCAUAUCGACGGCGGUGUUUGGCACCUCGAUGUCGGCUCAUCACAUCCUGGGGCUGAAGUAGGUCCCAAGGGUAUGGCUGUUCGCCAUUUAAAGUGGUACGCGAGCUGGGUUUAGAACGUCGUGAGACAGUUCGGUCCCUAUCUGCCGUGGGCGCUGGAGAACUGAGGGGGGCUGCUCCUAGUACGAGAGGACCGGAGUGGACGCAUCACUGGUGUUCGGGUUGUCAUGCCAAUGGCACUGCCCGGUAGCUAAAUGCGGAAGAGAUAAGUGCUGAAAGCAUCUAAGCACGAAACUUGCCCCGAGAUGAGUUCUCCCUGAGACUUAGAGUCUCCUGAAGGAACGUUGAAGACGACGACGUUGAUAGGCCGGGUGUGUAAGCGCAGCGAUGCGUUGAGCUAACCGGUACUAAUGAACCGUGAGGCUUAACCUU